UACGGAGGGGGCGAGCGUUGUCCGAAGUUACUGGGCGUAAAGCGUGCGUAGGCGGUUUGUUAAGUCCGUUGUGAAAGCCCUGGGCUCAACCUGGGAAUUGCAGUGGAUACUGGCGAGCUAGAGUGCGGUAGAGGAUGGUGGAAUUCCCGGUGUAGCGGUGAAAUGCGUAGAGAUCGGGAGGAGCACCCGUGGCGAAGGCGGCCAUCUGGACCAGCACUGACGCUGAGGCACGAAAGCGUGGGGAGCAAACAGG
rnacentral:rRNA from 1 species